rnacentral:rRNA from 1 species
UACGUAGGGUGCGAGCGUUAAUCGGAAUUACUGGGCGUAAAGCGUGCGCAGGCGGUUUUGUAAGCCAGAUGUGAAAUCCCCGGGCUUAACCUGGGAAUGGCAUUUGGGACUGCAAGGCUCGAGUGCGGCAGAGGAGACUGGAAUUCCUGGUGUAGCAGUGAAAUGCGUAGAUAUCAGGAGGAAUACCGAUGGCGAAGGCAGGUCUCUGGGCUGACACUGACGCUCAUGCACGAAAGCGUGGGGAGCGAAACAACGGAUUGU